ACGUAGGGUGCAAGCGUUAAUCGGAAUUACUGGGCGUAAAGCGUGCGCAGGCGGUUUUGUAAGACAGAGGUGAAAUCCCCGGGCUCAACCUGGGAACUGCCUUUGUGACUGCAAGGCUGGAGUGCGGCAGAGGGGGAUGGAAUUCCGCGUGUAGCAGUGAAAUGCGUAGAUAUCGGAAAGAACACCAACGGCGAAAGCACUCUGCUGGGCCGACACUGACACUGAGAGACGAAAGCUAGGGGAGCGAAUGGGA
rnacentral:rRNA from 1 species